rnacentral:lncRNA from 1 species
CCGCAUUUAGAUUAAAUUUUCUAUAUCUAAUAAUAUUAGAGCCAUAUUUAUGUUAUUUUUUUCAAUCUAUUGAUCUUAUUAUUGUAUGAAAAAUUUAUAUAUAUUAUUUUUUAUAUUUAUUUUUAAUAUAUUAUAGAUUAUUUAAUUAUUAUUAAUGAAUAAAAUGAAGGAGAAAAUGAUCCCCAAUUCUUCUUUGGACAUCGGAGGGGAUGGGGCUGACAGUGAAUUCUGAAGCCGUGAUAGAAUUAUUUGAAUAAAUAAAGAAAUAACAAGGGAGAAGAAGAGGGCCGACGUGUGUGCCCUCCUUCUCGUCUCAUCAUGGUGGCUGGACCUCCUGUCCGUGUCCAGCGGCCACCCAUGCCUGAUCGCUGACGCCCUCCCCUUCCGGCAACCGCGCGCCCCAAAGUUUAUAUAAAAUGAAAUAAAAAGGGUGAGAAAGAAGGCCGCCGGAUCUUAUGAACUGUAGGUGAAUCCGAGCAUAUGGAUGCCGAGAGGUUGCCGACGGAGAUCUGGUAAAUCGCUGGACAGCAAGUCUCCCCAGACGGACGGGCGAGGGGCAUCCCUAUCCUACGGCAGGCUUGGAUUUUAGCCGCGCGCGAAUCCAACUAUUCCAUGGGUGAAGAUCGGGUCGUUCUUCAGGUUGAGGAGAGUUCGGCGGUCCAUCAUUUGGGCGUUCCAUCGGGCACCGGCCAAGGUUAAAGAGGAUGAGCACACUUUUUUGCCCCUUCUUCUCGAAUCUCCCGUUGAUCCACCCAUCGUCAGCUCACUGACAGUCAGAACGGCGAUCUCAAGUCGGCCGCUGGCGGUGGAGGACAGUCGGUGUCUCGCCGGCAAUAUUUACGGGUGGUCAAUUGCCGGCAAAAGUGGAUUUUCAGAUGUGAUCGGGAAAAGAGGAACGGAGGGAGAAGACAAGGUUUAACGGUUCGGGUUUUGGGUUCCAACCCAAAAUCUGAAAUCCAGUUGGACCUUUUAUUCAUUAGGAG